rnacentral:rRNA from 1 species
CCCUUAGAUGUUCUGGGCCGCACGCGCGCUACACUGAUGCAUUCAACGAGUCUAAAACCUGCUCUGAUAGGGGUGGGUAAUCUUUUGAAUGUGCAUCGUGAUUGGGAUAGAUGAUUGCAAUUUUUCAUCUUCAACGAGGAAUGCCUAGUAAACGCAAGUCAUCAGCUUGCAUUGAUUACGUCCCUGCCCUUUGUACACACCGCCCGUCGCUCCUACCGAUUGAAUGAUCCGAUGAAUAUCAUGGAUUGAGGAUGCAAGUAGGUUAGCCUAUCUUCAUCUUCGAGAAGUGAAGUAAAUCUUAUCAUUUAGAGGAAGAAAAAGUCGUAACA